rnacentral:rRNA from 1 species
GACAGAGGAUGCAAGCGUUAUCCGGAAUGAUUGGGCGUAAAGCGUUUGAACAGGUGGUUUUGAAAGUCGAUUGUUAAAACCCAAGGCUUAACCUUGGACCGGCAAUGGAAACUUCUAGACUAGAGUAUGGUAGAGGUAGAUGGAAUUACCAGUGUAGCGGUGAAAUGCGUAGAUAUUGGUAGGAACACCGGUGGCGAAGGCGGUCUCUUGGGGGCAUUCUUGACGCUGAGGCGCGAAAGCUGGGGGAGCGAACGGG